ACGGGUGAGUAAUGUCUGGGGAACUGCCCGAUGGAGGGGGAUAACUACUGGAAACGGUAGCUAAUACCGCAUAACGUCGCAAGACCAAAGAGGGGGACCUUCGGGCCUCUUGCCAUCGGAUGUGCCCAGAUGGGAUUAGCUUGUAGGUGAGGUAACGGCUCACCUAGGCGACGAUCCCUAGCUGGUCUGAGAGGAUGACCAGCCACACUGGAACUGAGACACGGUCCAGACUCCUACGGGAGGCAGCAGUGGGGAAUAUUGCACAAUGGGCGCAAGCCUGAUGCAGCCAUGCCGCGUAUAUGAAGAAGGCCUUCGGGUUGUAAAGUACUUUCAGCGGGGAGGAAGGGAGUGAGGUUAAUAACCUCAUUCAUUGACGUUACCCGCAGAAGAAGCACCGGCUAACUCCGUGCCAGCAGCCGCGGUAAUACGGAGGGUGCGAGCGUUAAUCGGAAUUACUGGGCGUAAAGCGCACGCAGGCGGUCUGUCAAGUCGGAUGUGAAAUCCCCGGGCUCAACCUGGGAACUGCAUUCGAAACUGGCAGGCUGGAGUCUUGUAGAGGGGGGUAGAAUUCCAGGUGUAGCGGUGAAAUGCGUAGAGAUCUGGAGGAAUACCGGUGGCGAAGGCGGCCCCCUGGACAAAGACUGACGCUCAGGUGCGAAAGCGUGGGGAGCAAACAGGAUUAGAUACCCUGGUAGUCCACGCUGUAAACGAUGUCGACUUGGAGGUUGUUCCCUUGAGGAGUGGCUUCCGGAGCUAACG
rnacentral:rRNA from 1 species